rnacentral:rRNA from 1 species
GAUGAACGCUGACAGAAUGCUUAACACAUGCAAGUCAACUUGAAUUUGGGUUUUUAACUUAAGUUUGGGUGGCGGACGGGUGAGUAACGCGUAAAGAACUUGCCUCACAGCUAGGGACAACAUUUGGAAACGAAUGCUAAUACCUAAUAUUAUGAUAAUAGGGCAUCCUAUAAUUAUGAAAGCUAUAAGCGCUGUGAGAGAGCUUUGCGUCCCAUUAGCUAGUUGGAGAGGUAACGGCUCACCAAGGCGAUGAUGGGUAGCCGGCCUGAGAGGGUGAUCGGCCACAAGGGGACUGAGACACGGCCCUUACUCCUACGGGAGGCAGCAGUGGGGAAUAUUGGACAAUGGACCAAGAGUCUGAUCCAGCAAUUCUGUGUGCACGAUGAAGUUUUUCGGAAUGUAAAGUGCUUUCAGUUGGGAAGAAAGAAAUGACGGUACCAACAGAAGAAGUGACGGCUAAAUACGUGCCAGCAGCCGCGGUAAUACGUAUGUCACGAGCGUUAUCCGGAUUUAUUGGGCGUAAAGCGCGUCUAGGUGGUUAUGUAAGUCUGAUGUGAAAAUGCAGGGCUCAACUCUGUAUUGCGUUGGAAACUGUAUAACUAGAGUACUGGAGAGGUAAGCGGAACUACAAGUGUAGAGGUGAAAUUCGUAGAUAUUUGUAGGAAUGCCGAUGGGGGAAGCCAGCUUACUGGGACAGAUACUGACGCUGAAAGCGCGAAAGCGUGGGUAGCAAACAGG